AAUAUUGCACAAUGGGGGAAACCCUGAUGCAGCAACGCAGCGUGAGUGCUGACGGACUUCGGUUUGUAAAGCUCUGUCUUCAGGGACGAUAAUGACGGUACCUGACGAGGAAGCAAUGGCGAACAACGUGCCAGCAGCCGCGGUAAAACGCAGGUGGCGAGCCUUGUCCGGAUUUACUGGGCGUGAAGGGAGCGUAGGCGGACUUUUAAGUGAGAUGUGAAAUACCCGGGCUCCACUUGGGUGCUGCAUUUCAAACUGGAAGUCUAGAGUGCAGGAGAGGAGGAUAGAAUUCCUAGUGUAGCGGUGAAAUGCGUAGAGAUUAGGAAGAACACCAGUGGCGAAGGCGAUUCUCUGGACUGUAACUGACGCUGAGGCUCGAAAGCGUGGGGAGCAAACAGG
rnacentral:rRNA from 1 species